rnacentral:rRNA from 1 species
UUGCGGUUAAAAAGCUCGUAGUUGGAUCUCGGCGGGUAGAAGGCGGUACACUGCUAAGUGUUACUGCCUUAUUACCCGUAGUUUUUGCUAGAGGUUUCAGGGUGCUCUUAAUCGAGUGUCCUGGGAUGCUAGCAGGUUUACUUUGAAAAAAUUAGAGUGCUCAAAGCAGGCUACUACGCUUGAAUAUUCGUGCAUGGAAUAAUAGAAUAGGAAGUCGUUUCUAUUUUGUUGGUUUUCGGAAAUCGACUUAAUGAUUAAUAGAGACAGUCGGGGACAUUUGUAUUCAAACGACAGAGGUGAAAUUCUUGGACCGUUUGAAGACAAACUACUGCGAAAGCAUUUGCCAAGAAUGUUUUCAUUAAUCAAGAACGAAAGUUAGAGGUUCGAAGGCGAUUAGAUACCGCCCUAGUUCUAACCAUAAACGAUGCCAGCUAGCGAUCUGCGGACGUUUUUUUAGUAGACUCCGCAGGAAGCUUCCGGGAAACCAAAGCGUGUGGGUUCCGGGGGAAGUAUGGUUGCAAAGCUGAAACUUAAAGGAAUUGACGGAAGGGCACCACCAGGAGUGGAGCCUGCGGCUUAAUUUGACUCCACACGGGAAAUCUCACCAGGCCCGGACACUGGAAGGAUUGACAGAU